UUAACCCUCGGGUAUCCGCUAAUCUUGACUAAGUCCCUGAGCCGAUAAGUAAUACUCCGGUGACUUGGCUUGAAUGCUAUUGUGCAAGCUCGGCUCGUAUCGAGAAGCCUGCGGCAAACACUGAGACACCAACUUUGACCUUCGGGUUUAAGGUCCAAGUCAAUAACGAUACCCUUGGGUUACU
rnacentral:other from 1 species